rnacentral:rRNA from 1 species
AUCAUUGGGCGUAAAGCGCCUGUAGGUUGUUUAAUAAGUCUGUUGUUAAAGACUAGGGCUUAACCCUAGGAAAGCAAUGGAAACUACUAGACUUGAGUAUGAUAGGGGUAGAGGGAAUUUCUAGUGUAGCGGUGAAAUGCGUAGAUAUUAGGAAGAACACCGGUGGCGAAGGCGCUCUAUUGGAUCAUUACUGACACUCAGAGGCGAAAGCUAGGGUAGCAAAAGGGAUUAGAUACCCCUGUAGUCCUAGCCGUAAACGAUGGAUACUAGAUGUUGCGUUUAUUAUGCAGUAUCGUAGCUAACGCGUUAAGUAUCCCGCCUGGGGAGUACGCUCGCAAGGGUGAAACUCAAAGGAAUUGACGGGGGCCCGCACAAGCGGUGGAGCAUGUGGUUUAAUUCGAUGCAACGCGAAGAACUUUACCAAGGCUUGACAUACUACAAAUUUUUCUGAGAAGAAAAAGUGCCUUCGGGAAUGUAGAUACAGGUGGUGCAUGGCUGUCGUCAGCUCGUGUCGUGAGAUGUUGGGUUAAGUCCCGCAACGAGCGCAACCCUUGUUUUUAGUUGCCAAUUUAUUGGGUUUUCUAGAAAGACUGCCGGUGACAAACCGGAGGAAGGUGAGGAUGACGUCAAGUCAGCAUGCCCCUUAUGCCUUGGGCUACACACGUGCUACAAUGGCUAGGACAAAGAGUUGCGAGCUCGCGAGAGUCAGCUAAUCUCAUAAACUUAGCCUAAGUUCGGAUUGUAGGCUGCAAC